rnacentral:lncRNA from 1 species
GCCCGGCUUCCGGGUAGUGGCAGGUGAGGCCGCGUGGGGCCAGCGGCGGCUCCUUGCUGGUCUGUGGCUCUGGGCCCAAGACCCGAGCCUCCUACAGGGGCGGCCCCCUGCCUGAGGCGCGGGUGGGUUCCGACCUCCGAGAGCCGGUCUGGAAGCACUGAGGGGCCCCUACUUUUGCCCCCGAAGUCAGCGGGGCAACAGCCGCUCCCUUGCAGGAGCCGGGCCGUGGGCGGAGGGCCCCGGUGGGUGAGAUCGGUGACCCCCGAAAACUCCGACCAAAGAGCUGCAGCAAGAAAGGAGUUGGUUCCCACAAACCGCCCAGAGUCAAGUGAGAUGUUUCUAAGGCCCUCGUUUUCUCUGUGCAUGGGAACUAAAAUCAGUCUGAUGGCAGCUGCACAAGAUGGGAAGGAGUAAUCCUUGAAAUUAGACCAAGGAAGCACGUGAAGUGUGUUUGCUCUCAGCCACCAGCCUCAGAAGAGCUCAAGUCCAGGUAGGGUACAUUUUACCUGAGAUCUACUCUGGGGUGUCUUCCCUUGGUCACAGCCUGCUCCCAGGCACUCCUGGUGAGUUGGGUCUCUUUCCUACAUGUUGUGUAGCAUUAUUGUCCCAUAUUCACAGUGAGCUGUCCGAUUCCCAGGAGCAGAAGCCUGUUUCUGAAGCAUCCAAUCAGUCUAGAAAUAAUAGUCUAGUUAUCUGAUUUUUCACAGCUCUUUGCCUUUUCCUUGCACUGAGGAGUUAGGUAGCUAACUUUAUUCACAUCAAACAGCUAUGGAAGUUAAAGUUAUCUCAGAUUCGGAGCUAUAGACAUUACUUAAGAAGCGCUGUGGUUCUUUAAGUAUAUUCACGUCAUAAGCACUCAGCAAACCAGGUUAUUCAAGAAUCCUCUUAUCUCAGAAAGCUGAUUACAUUAUAUAAAUUAUCAAGGCAUUUAUUUCAAAGAUACUGAGAAAAAUCAGAGCAUUCUUGUCAGGUGUCUGUGGCACUUUGGCACUUGACCCCAACAUUCUUAAACAUCCUCUCAUCAAGAGCAAGAGUGCCCCACACGCUUCUCUGAACCAGGAUGAGCCAGUGACUGCUUUGACCAAUUAAGUAUGAUAGAAAGGUUGCUAUGUGACUUUUCAGGCUGGAUCUGAAAAAGCCAUGCCAGUUUUGCUUUCUUUUCUUUGGAUACUUGCUCUGAGAGAAGUCUGCUGCCACAUAGAGUGUAUCUCCCCUAAGAAAGUCAUGCUGGAAAGGCCUUCUGGUCACAGCCCUGCUCAGCUUCCAGCAACAGCCAGCAUCCACUGCCAGCCAUGUGGACAGGCCAUCUUGGGUGUCCCCAGAUGUGUUGACGACUCAGCUCAGUGGAGCCUUCAGAUUGUUGCAGUCUCCACCAACAUCUGACUGCAACCUCUUGAGAAAUGCCUUGUGACAGCAAAGCAGCCAAGCCCUUCCGUAACUCAUAACCCACAAAAUCAUUUAAAAAGAUCGUUUUUAACAAAUUGGUUUUCGGUUCAUACCACUAAAGUUUUAGGGCAAUUUGUUUUACAGUGCCAUUGGGAAAGAAGUUUCUCCCCUUUGACACACCUCCUCACCAUUCCAGCUGCUCACUUUCACUUCUGAGUGUUUGUGCUGUAGUUGCUUCAGUCCAUAUCUUCUUGGGUUUAUCUUUUCAUACUUUACACAUAUACACACACAGCCACAUAGGCACAGCCACCCACAUAGAAAAUUGAUCACUUGGCUCAGUUCUACUCCCCAGAUGACUUCAUUCAGACCUCAUUUUUCAGCUG